AUUGAACGCUGGCGGCAGGCCUAACACAUGCAAGUCGAGCGAGCGGCGGACGGGUGAGUAAUGUCUGGGAAACUGCCUGAUGGAGGGGGAUAACUACUGGAAACGGUAGCUAAUACCGCAUACCAUCAGAUGUGCCCAGAUGGGAUUAGCUAGUAGGUGGGGUAACGGCUCACCUAGGCGACGAUCCCUAGCUGGUCUGCGAGGAUGACCAGCAACACUGGAAUGGAGACACGGGCCGGCCCCCUACGGGAGGCAGAAGUGGGGAAUAUUGCACAAGGGGCGCAAGCCGGAUGAAGCAAUGCGGCGUGUGUGAAGAAGGCCUUCGGGUUGUAAAGCACUUUCAGCGGGGAGGCGUUACCCGCAGAAGAAGCACCGGCUAACUCCGUGCCAGCAGCCGCGGUAAUAC
rnacentral:rRNA from 1 species